AAACUCUGCCUGCUUUUAGAUGGCUCCUCUUGGAACUAUGCAUCUCUCCUGAUACUUGGAUGCUUUUCCUCUGACUGAUGAAGAUCCUGAAUACCAAAGAGGGCCGCUGACAGGUCCAGGAGUACACUUCUAGCACCUAGCAGAGAGAGGCUUCACUACAUCAUGCUUCCUGACAUCUCUCCGUUUGAAGAGCAGUCAGACUCCUGCUUUGCUCUUCAGACUUAAUUUGGGGGUUUAACAGCCAUGUGAAGUGCUCACUCCCCCUUUGCCUUCUGCCAUGAUUGUAUGUUUCCUGAGGCCUCCCCAGAAGCUGAGAAGAUGCUUCCUGUACAGCCUGCAGAACUGUUUGAAUGAGAGAGGGAGAAGCACAUUUCCAAUCACUGGGGGAACCUGAGACCAUUCUCUCCAACCCAUUUUUCCAAAUGGAUGUCCUGAGGAAGGUGUUCCAAAAGAGGUGAUGUCAGGAUAGUG
rnacentral:antisense_RNA from 1 species